AGUAAAAUGAUUGUCCUUCCUAGAUGACAACAAAGUGUUUUCAUAGAGCUUGGGCUUCCUAGCACACAGUCUUUAUGGUUACUGUGGAAUUAAUAAUUUUACAGAUAGAAUUUAGAAUUUACCAAAAGUCAUCUGCAAGUUGUCUUCUGUAUAAAUAAUUCACAAUCAUGGAGGAUGUUUCCAAAUAAUUCCGUUUUAACACUUGAUUGACAGGAAGAAGAUAAAAAAGAAAGAUCUAUAUUUUAUUUCUGUGCUUCAACUGGUGUGCCAUGGAGAUUGUCAUUUGCAAUAUUCUGAAAAACAGCUGUGGUUGUCUUAAAAUUGACACUGGAAAAAAUGUUGCUGGAGAAUCACCUUGGAUGAAAACAGCUUUUUGCAUGACACUCUCCUGAUUGCCUUCCUUCUGCAAACACUGACCAUUAGGAAGACACUGCUGUAGAGUCUGAAACCAAACCAGCCUAUUCCUUGUUCUCAAGUCAUCUUGGGUUGGAAGCUGCUGAAAACCUUCCUUCUGGAUAAAUAACUGUGAUGUCCCCAUCAUCCCCAGAAUUGGAU
rnacentral:lncRNA from 1 species